AAUCGCUGCUGAAGUCAGUGUUGUAAUGGUGAAUCGAGAUUUUUUAAAUGAAGUGGGUUUGAAUACUCUUGACUGUUUUGUAAAAUCGAGUUAUGUCUAUGAUUGAAGGAUUAAAGGGGUGUCUAUAGGAUUGAGUAUGCGGAGUGAAUGAAAUUUAUUGGAUUAAUCUAAUAGGACAGUCAGUGGAUACAAGAUCGUAAGUACAAAG
rnacentral:lncRNA from 1 species